rnacentral:rRNA from 1 species
GAUGAACGCUAGCUACAGGCUUAACACAUGCAAGUCGCGGGGUAACAUCUGGUAGAGCUUGCUCUUCCAGGAUGACGACCGGCGCACGGGUGAGUAACGCGUAUCCAACCUGGCCCAUACCACGGGAUAGCCCGUCGAAAGGCGGAUUAAUACCGUAUGCUGUCAUUAAGAUGCAUAUAUUGAUGACGAAAGGACUGGCGGUAUGGGAUGGGGAUGCGUCUGAUUAGCUUGUUGGCGGGGUAACGGCCCACCAAGGCGACGAUCAGUAGGGGUUCUGAGAGGAAGGUCCCCCACAUUGGAACUGAGACACGGUCCAAACUCCUACGGGAGGCAGCAGUGAGGAAUAUUGGUCAAUGGGCGUAAGCCUGAACCAGCCAAGUAGCGUGAGGGAAGACUGCCCUACGGGUUGUAAACCUCUUUUGUUUGGGAAUAAAGUGCGGGACGUGUCCCGCAUUGCAUGUACCAUUUGAAUAAGGACCGGCUAAUUCCGUGCCAGCAGCCGC